GGGUUGAAAAUCCAAUUAAAAUCAUUCAUUAAGAUUUCAGACUUGGACAUCCAGGAUUUGUUGACGGAGUUCUUUCAACAACAAGGUUUCCCGCCUCAGUUUUCCCUGAAGAUCCAUCCUUGAAACAAGUGGAUGAAAGACAUGAUUAAAGGAGGAGUGCUUGGGCCUGGCAGCAGCGUGGCUGUCUGGACAGUGGUGGGGCUGGUGACCAGGCCUCUCACCUGCUCCUCACAUUCUCGGUUGUGUGUUCUGAUGGUAUUUUCUCUUGCUUUGCAUAUUUUCUUGAUUGCAUGCUUUUGAUUUGAUUUUAAUUUUUAUUUACAUUGUCUGCUCUGAGAGUGUGGCGCACCGGAGCCGGUGAGGCCCCUGUCUCCAGAGCCUCUUUCCCCACCACCCAACUAAUUCUU